GGCCUAAUAGUGUAAUCGUCGCACGCGUCCUUCGGGACUCAGACUCUCGGUUGGACUUUCAAUCUGCAUGGACGUAGUCUGGGUUCAAUUCCCAGUUGGGCCC
rfam:Kwoniella heveanensis BCC8398 unplaced genomic scaffold supercont1.5, whole genome shotgun sequence.